rfam:Parcubacteria bacterium GW2011_GWA1_40_21 TT90_C0004, whole genome shotgun sequence.
GCCCAGGUGGUGAAAUUGGUAGACACGCAGGCCUCAGAAGCUUGUGGAAGCAAUUCCUUGGAGGUUCGAGUCCUCUCCUGGGCA